UACGGAGGGGGCUAGCGUUGUUCGGAAUUACUGGGCGUAAAGCGGGUGUAGGCGGAUCUCUAAGUCGGGGGUGAAAGCCCUGGGCUCAACCCAGGAACUGCCUUCGAUACUGGAGAUCUCGAGUCUGGGAGAGGUGAGCGGAAUUCCGAGUGUAGAGGUGAAAUUCGUAGAUAUUCGGAGGAACACCAGAGGCGAAGGCGGCUCACUGGACCAGUACUGACGCUGAGACCCGAAAGCGUGGGGAGCAAACAGG
rnacentral:rRNA from 1 species